GUUAACGAGGCGAACCGGGGGAACUGAAACAUCUAAGUACCCCGAGGAAAAGAAAUCAACCGAGAUUCCCCCAGUAGCGGCGAGCGAACGGGGAGCAGCCCAGAGUCUGAAUCAGCUUGUGUGUUAGUGGAACGGUCUGGAAAGUCCGACGGUACAGGGUGAUAGUCCCGUACACCAAAAUGCACAGGCUGUGAACUCGAAGAGUAGGGCGGGACACGUGGUAUCCUGUCUGAAUAUGGGGGGACCAUCCUCCAAGGCUAAAUACUCCUGACUGACCGAUAGUGAACCAGUACCGUGAGGGAAAGGCGAAAAGAACCCCGGCGAGGGGAGUGAAAAAGAACCUGAAACCGUGUACGUACAAGCAGUGGGAGCACCUUUAGGUGUGACUGCGUACCUUUUGUAUAAUGGGUCAGCGACUUAUAUUCUGUAGCAAGGUUAACCGUAUAGGGGAGCCGCAGGGAAACCGAGUCUUAACUGGGCGUUAAGUUGCAGGGUAUAGACCCGAAACCCGGUGAUCUAGCCAUGGGCAGGUUGAAGGUUGGGUAACACUAACUGGAGGACCGAACCGACUAAUGUUGAAAAAUUAGCGGAUGACUUGUGGCUGGGGGUGAAAGGCCAAUCAAACCGGGAGAUAGCUGGUUCUCCCCGAAAGCUAUUUAGGUAGCGCCUCGUGAACUCAUCUUCGGGGGUAGAGCACUGUUUCGGCUAGGGGGUCAUCCCGACUUACCAACCCGAUGCAAACUACGAAUACCGAAGAAUGUUAUCACGGGAGACACACGGCGGGUGCUAACGUCCGUCGUGAAGAGGGAAACAACCCAGACCGCCAGCUAAGGUCCCAAAGUCAUGGUUAAGUGGGAAACGAUGUGGGAAGGCACAGACAGCCAGGAUGUUGGCUUAGAAGCAGCCAUCAUUUAAAGAAAGCGUAAUAGCUCACUGGUCGAGUCGGCCUGCGCGGAAGAUGUAACGGGGCUAAACCAUGCACCGAAGCUGCGGCAGCGACACUAUGUGUUGUUGGGUAGGGGAGCGUUCUGUAAGCCUGCGAAGGUGACCUGUGAGGGUUGCUGGAGGUAUCAGAAGUGCGAAUGCUGACAUAAGUAACGAUAAAGCGGGUGAAAAGCCCGCUCGCCGGAAGACCAAGGGUUCCUGUCCAACGUUAAUCGGGGCAGGGUGAGUCGACCCCUAAGGCGAGGCCGAAAGGCGUAGUCGAUGGGAAACAGGUUAAUAUUCCUGUACUUGGUGUUACUGCGAAGGGGGGACGGAGAAGGCUAUGUUAGCCGGGCGACGGUUGUCCCGGUUUAAGCAUGUAGGCUGGUUAUCCAGGCAAAUCCGGAUAAUCAAGGCUGAGGUGUGAUGACGAGGCACUACGGUGCUGAAGUAACAAAUGCCCUGCUUCCAGGAAAAGCCUCUAAGCAUCAGGUAACAUCAAAUCGUACCCCAAACCGACACAGGUGGUCAGGUAGAGAAUACCAAGGCGCUUGAGAGAACUCGGGUGAAGGAACUAGGCAAAAUGGUGCCGUAACUUCGGGAGAAGGCACGCUGGUGUGUAGGUGAAGCCCCUGCGGGUGGAGCUGAGACCAGUCGAAGAUACCAGCUGGCUGCAACUGUUUAUUAAAAACACAGCACUGUGCAAACACGAAAGUGGACGUAUACGGUGUGACGCCUGCCCGGUGCCGGAAGGUUAAUUGAUGGGGUUAUCCGUAAGGAGAAGCUCUUGAUCGAAGCCCCGGUAAACGGCGGCCGUAACUAUAACGGUCCUAAGGUAGCGAAAUUCCUUGUCGGGUAAGUUCCGACCUGCACGAAUGGCGUAAUGAUGGCCAGGCUGUCUCCACCCGAGACUCAGUGAAAUUGAACUCGCUGUGAAGAUGCAGUGUACCCGCGGCAAGACGGAAAGACCCCGUGAACCUUUACUAUAGCUUGACACUGAACAUUGAGCCUUGAUGUGUAGGAUAGGUGGGAGGCUUUGAAGCGUGGACGCCAGUCUGCGUGGAGCCAACCUUGAAAUACCACCCUUUAAUGUUUGAUGUUCUAACGUUGGCCCCUUAUCGGGGUUGCGGACAGUGUCUGGUGGGUAGUUUGACUGGGGCGGUCUCCUCCCAAAGCGUAACGGAGGAGCACGAAGGUUAGCUAAUCCUGGUCGGACAUCAGGAGGUUAGUGCAAUGGCAUAAGCUAGCUUGACUGCGAGCGUGACGGCGCGAGCAGGUGCGAAAGCAGGUCAUAGUGAUCCGGUGGUUCUGAAUGGAAGGGCCAUCGCUCAACGGAUAAAAGGUACUCCGGGGAUAACAGGCUGAUACCGCCCAAGAGUUCAUAUCGACGGCGGUGUUUGGCACCUCGAUGUCGGCUCAUCACAUCCUGGGGCUGAAGUAGGUCCCAAGGGUAUGGCUGUUCGCCAUUUAAAGUGGUACGCGAGCUGGGUUUAGAACGUCGUGAGACAGUUCGGUCCCUAUCUGCCGUGGGCGCUGGAGAAUUGAGGGGGGCUGCUCCUAGUACGAGAGGACCGGAGUGGACGCAUCACUGGUGUUCGGGUUGUCAUGCCAAUGGCACUGCCCGGUAGCUAAAUGCGGAAGAGAUAAGUGCUGAAAGCAUCUAAGCACGAAACUUGCCCCGAGAUGAGUUCU
rnacentral:rRNA from 1 species